AAAGUCGUAACAAGGUUUCCGUAGGUGAACCUGCGGAAGGAUCAUUAUCGAAUUGUAAGGAUUCAGUUGUCGCUGGCUCUCUCUGGGAGCAUGUGCACGCUGGAUUCAAACUCUUCAUUCUUAACCUCCUGUGCACCUUUUGUGGACUGUAGUCAGAUAACUCGUCGAGGUAACACUCGGUCUUGCACAUUGCGCCUAACCCGCGCUUUGUGCUGCAUCUGACUGCGGUUCAUGUCUUUACUACAAACUAUUAAUUAAAUCUAGAAUGUCUAAAGGUUGGGACUAGCGCCCUUCUUAAAUGUAAAUACAACUUUCAACAACGGAUCUCUUGGCUCUC
rnacentral:misc_RNA from 1 species